rnacentral:ncRNA from 1 species
UAGCUUGAUUCUAACUAAUAAAUUAUAAUAACAAUAUAACCUCAUGAAAACCAUCUUAAUAUUAUAUAAUAACUCAAAGUUUUAAAAUUUGAAUAACAUCUUUGUACUAUCAAAUUAACAAUGGAUAACCCUACUAAAUUUGCUAAAGCAAGAAGUGGUAAUUGUUAAUAAGCCGGCUAAAUUCGUGCCAGCAGCCGCGGUUAUACGAUAGGCCAAUUAAUUUUCUCAGUUUUAUUAAGGUAUACUAAAAUUAAUUAUAAGUUAAAUUUUACAUAAUCAGAACCAUAAAUACCUGAAUUAAAUUAUUAACUAAAACAAGGAUUAGAUACCCUUCUAUUAAUAACACUAAAAUUAAACUAGAUAAUACGAACCAUAGUUUAAAAUCUAAAGAAUUUGGCGGUGGCCCACAAAAUCAGGGGAACCUGUUUAUUAAAUCGAUAACCCACGUAAUGAUCCACCUAAAUUUGAACCUCAACAUGUGUACUGCCGUUGAAAAUAUACCUUUAUAGAGAGUAUAUAAAAAAAGAAUACUUCCUACAUCAGGUCAAAGUGCAGUUUAUAUAUUAGGAUUAAAUGGGUUACAAUCUUUAUAUGUUUAUAGAGCCUCUUAUUAAAUUAAUUGGUAAAAUUGGACUUGAUAGUAAUUUAAAUUAACCUAUUUAAAUGAAAAUUACCUGGGCCAUGCACACAUCGCCCGUCACUCCUGCUAUAAAAGAAGGAUAAGUCGUAACAAAGUAGAUAUAAUGGAAAUUGUAUCUGU